ensembl:lncRNA
CUGGAACACAGAGAGGCUGCAGCAGAGGAAGGAGGGAGACUGGAGGAAAGGUUGCACAGGCAGGGAGGCUUACUUUCCUCAGUUGUACCUGUUUGUGCCAGAAUCGCAGUUUUCAUUUGGACUGGCUCCAGGUGACGUCCAGUCCCAGCCUGUUCUGCUGCUGUUGCUGACUGGGUUGUGGUGGCAGCAGUUAACAUUCCAGACAUCCCUCUCCACCUCUGUGUUUUCCAGCUCCUCCCGAAAGAUCCAGAGGCGUUCCCAGGCCAGGAAACUGCUCAGACAGAAAACUUGUGUCAGACUCAGAAGUCCAACGCUCAGCUUUUAUUUGCUGAUUCUGGGGAAGUUGUAGCUGACUCAGCUGAUGUCAGAGUUUCCACGAGAAGGAAAAUGCUGCAUACACUAUUACUACUACUACUACUACUACUACUACUACUACUACUACUACUACUACUACUGCAGCUGCUACUACUGUACAAUCACCGUAUGUCAGAGUGUAAAACUGAGUCAUUGUGGAAAUGUUUAGCUGCAGAAAAAUAUAUUCAAGACAGUCUGUAUACCUUUGUUCAAACAGUCUAAUCAAUGCAACUAUUUAUCUUUGCUGAGAAAAAUAAGACAGACUUUUUACAGUGUAAAUGCUGUAUUUAAAGAGUGAGAGCAAUGACUUUUUAAACCCCAACAUGCACUGGUGGGUUUGAAAGGCAAAAAAGAAUAAAUAAAAUCAGCAAAUGACACCAUGUCUCAUACAGAAACUGUAGAAAGAGAAAAAAUCACUUCAACAUAUUGUUCAAUUA